GAUGAACGCUAGCGGGAGGCCUAACACAUGCAAGCCGAGCGGUAGAGUUUCUUCGGAAACUUGAGAGCGGCGCACGGGUGCGUAACACGUGUGCAACCUACCUUUAUCUGGGGGAUAGCCUUUCGAAAGGAAGAUUAAUACCCCAUAAUAUAAUGAUUGGCAUCAAUUAUUAUUGAAAACUCCGGUGGAUAGAGAUGGGCACGCGCAAGAUUAGAUAGUUGGUGAGGUAACGGCUCACCAAGUCAAUGAUCUUUAGGGGUCCUGAGAGGGAGAUCCCCCACACUGGUACUGAGACACGGACCAGACUCCUACGGGAGGCAGUAGUGAGGAAUAUUGGACAAUGGGUGAGAGCCUGAUCCAGCCAUCCCGCGUGAAGGAUGACGGUCCUAUGGAUUGUAAACUUCUUUUGUACAGGGAUAAACCUACCCUCGUGAGGGUAGCUGAAGGUACUGUACGAAUAAGCACCGGCUAACUCCGUG
rnacentral:rRNA from 1 species